UACGUAGGUGGCAAGCGUUGUUCGGAUUUACUGGGCGUAAAGGGCGCGCAGGCGGCGCAUUUUGUCAGGCGUGAAAGCCCCGGGCUUAACCUGGGAACUGCGUUUGAUACGGAUGGGCUAGAGUUCGGGAGAGGAGAGUGGAAUUCCCAGUGUAGAGGUGAAAUUCGUAGAUAUUGGGAAGAACACCGGUGGCGAGGCGGCUCUCGUCGG
rnacentral:rRNA from 1 species